UAAGAUUAGUAUUAUUAACUUGACUAGUUUGGUUGCAGACUUGUUUAAUACUUAACAAUUUGUAUAAGUUACAAGAUCAAUGGUCCUGCUAUCAAUGUUUUUGUAACUUAAAUUCAUUACAGUUUAGAUACAAUCAAAUGUCCAAACCAUCUCUGAGUGAAUGACAGGAUCAAAACAGGAUCACAAGAUCAUUCAUUAUAGACCGUUUCAUAGGUCAUUCUGUUCUCCUGGUUGUGAGGAUGUGCAGAGGCUGUAUUUGUCAGUGUUAAAAGACUUGUGCUGUUGUAUCCACACAUACAAGCAGCCGACAAAGAGUCCUGGAGCAGGACAGACAGCUAUAAGAGAACAACUUUGGAGGACAAACUACGAUUGUUGGUUCCUACAUUGAGAUUAUUACCAACAACAACAUACAAAGAAAAACCGACUGAGGCCAUUUCUCAUCCCACUUCUUCAUUGAAGACUGGAAAGGUGAGUUGCACAUUCUGAAUUUAC